GUCUAUAUUCUGUCUUUGCCGAGGAUAGACCAAGAAUGGAGUCUUAGAACUUUUAACCCAGUGCCCAACAGUUGGCCCAUACUAUAUCCAUGCUGCACCAAACCUAACCUUGCAAACGGCCUUUGAUCUGCCAAUCAUUGAGAAACAGUUAGAUCUGUACACCUCGACAUUUCAGAAUUCCUGCUUCAGGAGCCCUGAAAACCUGGGAGGUUGUUGUGGCCUAAAAUGCUUCCUGGAGGCCGAAGGUGUCUACAGGCCCAGAGAGCAGAGUGUGGUCCUCAAAUCUUUAAGGCCAUGCAGCUUGGCGUCCAUCUGUUCAGAGAACAGAGUGUUGUCUUUGAAGGGGAGGUCUUGGACCGACUGCUGCUCCUUGUGGGAGGGGCCCAAUGACUGGAGCCACAAACAGCACCUCAUGGUGACCUCUGACCCCUUUGUUCUGGCUUCCGAGUUGGCUGCAUCCAGAGCUGUCUGCAGGGAGGCCAUAGCCGCCAUCUUGCCCUCCUCCAGGAUGGCAGAGUACUCCUGCCUCUAUUCCUGUGGCAUGGAGUCCCAGAACUUGGCCAGUGAAUCCCACAAUUUAAAGUUUUACCUCCCCAGCAAGGCCUGCUGGUUAGAGAU